rnacentral:rRNA from 1 species
GACAGAGGUGCCAAGCGUUAGGCGGAAUCACUGGGCUUAAAGCGUGUGUAGGCGGAUGUCUAAGUACCUUGUGAAAUCCCACGGCUCAACCGUGGAACUGCUUGGUAUACUGGAUGUCUUGAGCCAGCUAGGGGCUACCGGAACAAAUGGUGGAGCGGUGAAAUGCGUAGAUAUCUGGAGGAACACCGGUGGCGAAGGCGGCAUCCUGGACCAUUACUGACACUGAAAAGCGAAAGCCAGGGGAGCAAACGGG